UAGGGAAUCUUCCGCAAGGGGCGAAAGCUUGACGGAGCAACGCCGCGUGAGUGAUGAAGGUCUUCGGAUCGUAAAACUCUGUUAUUAGGGAAGAACAAAUGUGUAAGUAACUAUGCACGUCUUGACGGUACCUAAUCAGAAAGCCACGGCUAACUACGUGCCAGCAGCCGCGGUAAUACGUAGGUGGCAAGCGUUAUCCGGAAUUAUUGGGCGUAAAGCGCGCGUAGGCGGUUUUUUAAGUCUGAUGUGAAAGCCCACGGCUCAACCGUGGAGGGUCAUUGGAAACUGGAAAACUUGAGUGCAGAAGAGGAAAGUGGAAUUCCAUGUGUAGCGGUGAAAUGCGCAGAGAUAUGGAGGAACACCAGUGGCGAAGGCGACUUUCUGGUCUGUAACUGACGCUGAUGUGCGAAAGCGUGGGGAUCAAACAGG
rnacentral:rRNA from 1 species